GACGAACGCUGGCGGCGUGCCUAAUACAUGCAAGUAGAACGCUGAAGGAGGAGCUUGCUUCUCCGGAUGAGUUGCGAACGGGUGAGUAACGCGUAGGUAACCUGCCUGGUAGCGGGGGAUAACUAUUGGAAACGAUAGCUAAUACCGCAUAACAGUAGAUAUUGCAUGAUAUCUGCUUGAAAGGUGCAAUUGCAUCACUACCAGAUGGACCUGCGUUGUAUUAGCUAGUUGGUGGGGUAACGGCUCACCAAGGCGACGAUACAUAGCCGACCUGAGAGGGUGCUCGGCCACACUGGGACUGUGACACGGCCCAGACUCCUCCGGGAGGCAGCAGUAGGGAAUCUUCGGCAAUGGACGGAAGUCUGACCGAGCAACGCCGCGUGAGUGAAGAAGGUUUUCGGAUCGUAAAGCUCUGUUGUAAGAGAAGAACGAGUGUGAGAGUGGAAAGUUCACACUGUGACGGUAUCUUACCAGAAAGGGACGGCUAACUACGUG
rnacentral:rRNA from 1 species